GUUUUCCUGAUCUAUGCAUAAAAGCUUUAUGCCCUGUGUUUCACACACUUUUGUACUACAUGCCUGUAGUCUGUGUUUGAGCUGGACAGCGUGAAAUGUUGUUCUGAGUAGCAGUGAGACUGCUUCUUCUGCUCUGUCUAGACUGUCCAAUAUUUAAGUGCACGAUUGUUGCGUCGCCGUACGCUUGUAUUUAAGGCCUUUGGCUGAACCCAGUGUUCGCGAUGCUCCGAGCUGUGGUUUCAAGCCCCUGAAGUCUCUGUAGUCUGCUACGAGGUUCUAGUAACUAUAUGGGAUUCAGAUUUCCUCCUUUCCCCUGACAGAUUAGCUACCUGUCACAGGAAACCACUGUAACAGUGGGAGGUUGUUGUUUGAUUGAAUUCAGACAAAAUUUGUGUUCACAAAUCGCCGCAUUUGUGAUUUUAAAGUCUGCAGUUGAAUCUGCUGUUGAGGGAUUUGUCACUUCGAUUCUUGUCUAUAUAGUCGGCUACGAGGUUCUAGUAACUAUAUGGGAUUCAGAUUUCCUCCUUUCCCCUGACAGAUUAGCUACCUGUCACAGGAAACCACUGUAACAGUGGGAGGCUGUUGUUUGUUUGAAUUCAGAC
rnacentral:lncRNA from 1 species